CACACACACACACACACACACACUCUAUCUAUCUAUGUAUCUAUCUAUCUCUCUCUCGGUAAAAUGAGAUCUAGAGAGAUGAUUUCCAUUAAUUUACCCUUUUCAGAGCAAUUCACCUCAGAUUCUACUAUGUGGAAGUGUUUACUUUUAUCAGUCUGUAAAUACUCUCUCUCUCUCUGCUGUCUUCGUGUCUGUAUGUGAGGGAGAAAGGUGUAGUGUGAGGGUCGCUUUCGUCUUCUCUGAUUCUCAUGAGGAAAAUGACUCAUCAUCUUCCCCUUUGGAUUUACUUAUUAUUCAGUGGUGUUCCGUAUUUUAUGCGAUACCCUACACAAUUUUGCAUCUCCUAUUAUUGUUAUUCCUUAGAAUAUAUGAAUUGAUCAUGUCAUAUGCUGCCUUAUCCUGCUUUUGUUUAUCAUUUUGAUAGCCAGUGGAGUGACACUGAAACCCUUCUGUAGUUUCAUCAAGAAUGAAAAUGCACAUUAUUUAACUUCAUUGGAGAUUAGGGUUUCUUCUGUUCUUUGAACCUUCACUUUAUUAACAGACAAGAAGUAGUAGCUGAAUAUCGGUAUUAAUUUUUUCACUUUUUAUUAUUCCUAGGAUUUCAAUAUAUUUCCAACUUUUGGGGGGUGUUUUUUCACAAGAAACCCAUUUGUUUCUCCCGACAAUUACUAUUGUUAUUAUUACUUUUUCUGUUUUCUAUUUUAUGAUCAUAAAUUCAUAAUGGUGUCACAUUUUAUGGACUGACUGAUUUUUUGUUUCACCUGAUUUUCAUUAUAAAUUAUAUCUGUAAGGUGGGUUUUUCAUUUUUGUUAUAUCUGCCCUGGAAUUAGGGUUUUCGGAAAGAGAUUUUGAAUUCAUAGUGAAUUUCAUCAUCAAAAAGGUAUGGUCACUGUUAAAGAUUCUUGAAAUUUAUGAUUUCUAUGGCUUUCUUUCAAUCAUCCAUAAAGUUCAAAUUUCAAUUAUUUUUUAUUGAACUUAAUUAAGUUUGUUAAAAUAAUUUUACAACUGUCACUGUUCUUGAUUGUUUUUCCUUUAUACUCCUGUUUUUGUUGGUCUUUUCAUUUUGUUGAAUUGCUUCGAUAUAUUUGUAAGCUAAAUUUAAUUGAUGGCAUUAUAUAAAUUAUCUCGAUUAUUUCAUUUCCUCUCAUGUUCUUCUAGUUAUUGGGUUCUAGUAUAUUACUUUGAGCAGAUUUCUUGUACUCAUUUUUCCGUUUUCAUGCCAAAAAAGAGAGGAAACGUCACGAUCAUAUAUUUGUUUGUAUUGUUUAUUUUUCUUUACUUUCUGAGGCUUGUGGUGAUAAUUAUAUGUACUCUCCGUGAUUUGAAGUUUCUGUAAUUGUUAGUAAUAUUAUGUACUUGGAAAGUACGGAAGUAGUUAAAUAGGGAGAACCAAUGUCUAUGUAUCUUUUAUCCAUUCUUUCACUUAUUUUAUUUGAUAGUGAAAAAGGCAAAAGACAAGUUGAUUUUUGCUUCUUUAAUAUAGAUGGAGGAUAUCUCUUUCUCAGCAUUAAGUCACUGGUAAGCAAAAUUCGAUAUAAUUUAGCUGUUUUUAGUCUUACAAUUUGAAUAGAAUGUACAUAUAUUCAUUGGGAAUUUUUGUGGCGCUAUUUGCCAUGAUGAUUGUCUUCCAUUUCUGCCUUGACAAGUAUUGGAGCUAACUUUGAUUGAAGUAUGUUAAAAUUUUAGUUGAACGGUUCUUUUCAAGUUGAUCCAUCUUUAUGAAUUUUUCUUUUUUCUCACAGGUAUCUUUGGGAUGCACUGGGAAAUGGUCUACGAGAGCUUACUUCAGUCCACUCAUGGACGAGAUUAGGGGUUGAAUUAGCUGCUGACUCAUUCAUUUAAUCACUCAGUAGAAUACAAAGUUUUUUGCUACUGUGACUGAGUGAAUGAUGCAGGAGAUAGUUCUACAUCCCACUUUUUCUGUGCUUGGACUGAAGGGAGCUCCUCUAGCCAUUGCCCUCAUUUUGUUUCUCCAGUUGUCUCGUCUUGUUUCUAAAAGACAAAGUCAGUUUCUCAGAAAAGUAGUUGCAUGAAUGUUGAACACCUAUCUCCUACAUUCUUCCACGCUGUUUUUAUAGUUAAAACUGAAGUUUCUCAACUCUCUAACACUUUUAUACAAGUUUCUCGAGUUCUUUAAUGAUCACAUAUCAGGUACAUUGAUAUGGAAUAGGAGGAUGUUAAUCCUCGCUUUCUUGAGAAAAUAUUACUGGAUGGGAGUGAUUAACUAAAAAUAUCUUGCUCGGUUCUGGUUCUUUCGGCAGUUAUUGUAAAACAUUAUAGUUAAUUCUAUCGUGGGUAAUCAGUUUCAACAACUAUAUAUAAUUGUUCUUACCUAGAAAAAGCUUGGUUCCUUCAUUGAUAAAUCCUAUCUGUCCAUCAAUUAUGCAUGAUGAAAUAGGACUUGUUAAUGUAUCUUGUGGGAGAUGAGUAAGAGAAGCUCAGAUGAUGGAAUCCCUGUUUUGCUUGUCGAAGAAUGGCUUCAAACUGUUUUGCAGAUUUCAUUAUUCAUAACGGAAAGCUCCCUUGUGCAUGUUACAAGCUUGUCGAAUACAGAGUACUGUGUACCAAGCAUACACUUCUACUGUAUAUAUUUUCCACGAUGGUGUGUUGCGUGGAGAUCAUGAAGUUUAUCUGCAAUACCAUGUUGAUUUCACUUCACUUACCAUCGGCAAAUUUAUUGGGUUACAAGAAAGAGAUCUCUCUCUUUGGAGCACCUGAGAUCAAGGACAACUCGUCCUACCUCUAAAGGCAGUCGAGGAUUCAUACGUCCCCAAAUAGACCUAGCAUCUCGAACAAUCACCUCUUCCUCCAAGGCUAUAUCCGGGCUUGUGUAAGAUCAUUCAAGUUGAGAGUUUGAACUUAGACCGAUGAAAACUCGAUUCUUGAAAAGGUUAAAAUGCUGUUUUAUAUUGAUUGGUACACUUCCCUUUCUAUGUAGCCCAAAAAUCUAGGGCUCUUAUGUGUAAUUGGUCCAGCCCUCCACCAUUUGGUGGUCCCCUAUUUGUAUUUUAAUAUAUAUAAUAAUUUAAUUGAUGGUGAAAUCAAGGAGCUAUAUAUCAUUGGAGGGAAGAUUUUGGCACCUCGUUGGGAUGGGUAGUAGGUGGGUUGUAAAACGACAUCGAUGGAUUACAAGAAAUCUCUCA